UGUGAUUCUCACCAGAUAAGUCUGUUUUUGUCUCUUGAGUGCCAUAUGGAGGACAAAAGCGUUCUAUUUCUCCUUAUGCACCCCAGAGACAAAAACUAACAUUUCAACAUCUCAAAGUUCA
rnacentral:precursor_RNA from 14 species